AUUGAACGCUGGCGGAAUGCUUUACACAUGCAAGUCGCACGGUAACAGGUCUUCGGAUGCUGACGAGUGGCGAACGUGUGAGUAAUAUAUCGGAACGUGCCCAGUCGUGGGGGAUAACGUAGCGAAAGUUACGCUAAUACCGCAUACGAUCUAUGGAUGAAAGGGGGGGAUCGCAAGAACCCGCGCGAUUGGAGCGGCCGAUAUCAGAUUAGGUAGUUGGUGGGGUAAAGGCUUACCAAGCAAACGAUCUGUAGCUGUUGUGAGAGGACGACCAGCCACACUGGAACUGAGACACGGUCCAGACUCCUACGGGAGGCAGCAGUGGGGAAUUUUGGACAAUGGACGCAAGUCUGAUCCAGCCAUUCCGCGUGCAGGAUGAAGGCCCUCGGGUUGUAAACUGCUUUUGUACGGAACGAAAAGGUCUCUCCUAAUACGAGGGGCUCAUGACGGUACCGUAAGAAUAAGCACCGGCUAACUACGUGCCAGCAGCCGCCGUAAAAC
rnacentral:rRNA from 1 species